AUUGAACGCUGGCGGCAUGCCUUACACAUGCAAGUCGAACGGUAACGGGCCUUCUUGUUCCGACGCUUGGCUCACGGGUGAGUAAUACAUCGGAACGUGCCCUAUCCUGGGGUCUAACGAGGCCCAAGCUUUGCUAAUCCCACAUCCGAUCUACGCGUGCAAUCAUGUGUCCGCAAGGCCUUUCGCCGGCGCAGCGUCCGAUGGCAGCUUAGGUAGUUGUUGGGAUAAAAGUUUCCUACGCCGACGAUCGGUAGCUGGUCUGAGAGGAGGAUCUGCCACACUGGGACGGAGACACGGACCAGACGCCUACGGGAGGCAGCAGUGGGGAAUGUUGGACAAGGGGCGCAAGCCUGAUCCAGCCAGGCCGAGUGUAGGAUGAAGGCCUUCGGGUUGUAAACUGCUUUUGUACGGAACGAAAAGCCUUCUGUUAAUACAGGAGGGUCAUGACGGUACCGGAAGAAGAAGCACCGGCUAACUACGUG
rnacentral:rRNA from 1 species